UACGUAGGUGACCAGCGUUGUCCGGAUUUACUGGGCGUAAAGAGCGCGCAGGCGGUCGUCCAAGUCGCGUGUGAAAGCCCCCGGCUCAACUGGGGAGGGUCAUUCGAUACUGUCGGACUCGAAGGCAGGAGAGGGAAGCGGAAUUCCCGGUGUAGUGGUGAAAUGCGUAGAUAUCGGGAGGAACACCAGUGGCGAAGGCGGCUUCCUGGCCUGUUCUUGACGCUGAGGCGCGAAAGCUAGGGGAGCAAACGGG
rnacentral:rRNA from 1 species